GGGCGCGUAACUCAGCUGGUUAGAGUGCCUCCCUUACAAGGAGGAAGUCGCAAGUUCGAAUCUUGCCGUGCCCA
rnacentral:tRNA from 1 species